ACACUCACAUAAAGUAUAUAAUUAUAUGCAAGUAAAGAUUUUUAAAACAAUGGGUAGAAUGAAUCAGACAGUAAUAAUUAUUAAAAGUUGAUCAUAGAGUUGACAAGUGAUAUUUUAGUACUACAGCUUUUGACCUAAAGUUGUGAGACCUUUAAUAGACUCCAGAUGGUACCAAGAAUUUCUCCCUUAAGACUCUCUUUGGUGUGUUUGAUUUGGUUGCUAAAGCUCCUAUCGCUAAAGCUCCUAUCUUAAACGAAGAGGCACUUGAAUUACCACGUCAAGGUGCAACUGCUGCACUAAGUUUGGCCGCCGCCUCACUUUGGGUCAAUCAAGCGGCAAAAAAGGCUAUUGGCUGUGAGGCCUAUGAGAAGUGCCGGGGUAAAGAUGAGCAUGAUACCCCCAUCUCACCGGGGUUAUAUCUGGCUGGGUUAAAUUGUUCUCAACUUCAUAAUAUAACCGGCUAUUUCAACAGAUAUGCCAUGUGGAAAGUGAAAUGCCAAGAAGCCAACAAAUCAUUGGGAUCUGUAUGUGUCGUCACGGGCGCUGAGACAAAAAUGAAGAUAACAAAAGUAGCUGUAGGACCAUUUGUGAACAUUCUUGAAUUGUGAACAUUCUUGGAUAGUUUGUUUAGGAAGGUUUCCGUCCAUGGUCAAAUGUUAAGUAGGGGGCGUACACAUGCAUGGUGCAAUCCUCUCAGUCCAUCUGAUUGGUUCAUUAGGUGUUGAUCAUGGCGUGGGGGCGUGUCAAUACCCUAAGUACAUUGUACCAUACUUAUUCCAUACUUAUUGGAUUUUGUUAAAAAUAAUCUCGCCAGAGGUUUCUUUUGAGGUUGAAAAAUUAUGUUGAAGUCCAGUGUCGCAUCUACCAUAGAUUGGAAACGAAAAUUUUUGCGUGAAACACUCCGCGUUAUAGAAUGUACUGUACACAACUCCCAAGCCCCCUUACACACACACAGAGGUUGUUUACAGUGCAUUACCUACCUGGGGGGGGGGGGGAGUUAUGUACAGUACAUUAGCUAUAAGCCUGUGUGUGUGUGAUUAUGAGAAUGCAAUGUGACGACUCUUGUGUGUUUAACCCCUGCAGUGUCCCAAUAACCCAAUAACCCAAUAACGAAGACAGAUGGUGCAUGAGCGCGGGGUUAUAUGGCUACUGGCGAUUCCUGAUGAAGGCCGUACCUCAAAGGUCUCGGAAACCGGUCGAAUGAAACAAAUCAACGCCCUUUUGAAAAAAGGGAAAACAAAACAUACACUAACUCUUGUGUUGCUAUAACGCUCUUGAAAACAAAACACUAUAUGUAAUUUCUGUGUUGCUCAUUUGUCACUCCCACUUAUUGUUUUGCAAUUUAUAGUCUACGAUAAAAUUAUAAUGGGCAUGCACAUAACUAAUACAAAACGAGUGCUUCUCACCAUGUUUUUGCUUUCCCUCAACAGUACGUAUUAAUUAAUGUGUUAUAAAUUGCAUGAUUUCAAAUUUGCAAAAUAUAUAAGUGUUAUAGUCUACGAUAAAAUUAUAAUGGGCAUGCACAUAACUAAUACAAAACGAGUGCCUCUCACCAUGUUUUUGCUUUCCCUCAACAGUACGUAUUAAUUAAUGUGUUAUAAUUUGCAUGAUUUCAAAUUUGCAAAAUAUAUAAGUGUUCGCAAUUGAAGCGUUUUUCGUUAUUAUGGGUAUGGUAUUGGCGUAAAAUCAAAUCGCCCAAAAUAAUGUACAAGUGCCACAAUGGGUUGUUACUGUCUGUGGCCUCUAUUCAGCACACAACAUGCAGUGGCAGCAGAAACUGUGGUUUAUUUGCUAUUGCCGCUGCAGUGGAGUAGGAAC